rnacentral:rRNA from 1 species
AAUCAACGCUGGCGGCGUGCCUAACACAUGCAAGUCGAACGAGAAAGUGGAGCAAUCCAUGAGUACAGUGGCGACCGGGUGAGUAACACGUGACCAACCUGCCCUCGAGUGGGGAAUAACCCCGGGAAACCGGGGCUAAUACCGCAUAACAUCGCAAGAUCAAAGCAGCAAUGCGCUUGAGGAGGGGGUCGCGGCUGAUUAGCUAGUUGGUAGGGUAACGGCCUACCAAGGCGAAGAUCGGUAUCCGGCCUGAGAGGGCGCACGGACACACUGGAACUGAAACACGGUCCAGACUCCUACGGGAGGCAGCAGUGGGGAAUUUUGCGCAAUGGGGGAAACCCUGACGCAGCAACGCCGCGUGGAGGAUGAAGUCCCUUGGGACGUAAACUCCUUUCGACCCGGACGAUACUGACGGUACGGGUGGAAGAAGCACCGGCUAACUCUGUGCCAGCCGCCGCCGUAAUAC